rnacentral:rRNA from 1 species
AACGAACGCUGGCGGCAGGCUUAACACAUGCAAGUCGAGCGCCCCGCAAGGGGAGCGGCAGACGGGUGAGUAACGCGUGGGAAUCUACCCAUCUCUACGGAAUAACGCAUGGAAACGUGUGCUAAUACCGUAUACGUCCUUCGGGAGAAAGAUUUAUCGGAGAUGGGUGAGCCCGCGUAGGAUUAGCUAGUUGGAGGGGUAAAGGCCUACCAAGGCGACGAGCCAUAGCUGGUCUGAGAGGAUGAUCAGCCACACUGGGACUGAGACACGGCCCAGAGUCCUGCCGGAGGCAGCAGGGGGGAAUAUGGGACAAUGGGCGAAAACCUGUUCCAGCCACGCCGCGUGAGUGAUGAAGGCCCUAGGGUUGUAAAGCUCUUUCACCGGUGAAGAUAAUGACGGUAACCGGAGAAGAAGCCCCGGCUAACUUCGUGCCAGCCGCCGCCGUAAUAC